rnacentral:piRNA from 1 species
UGUGCUGGUGAUGGAGGAGAUAUCCCGAGC